GAGAAGCUGCUUGCAUCAAUGCAGCAGCUCUUGGCUUCUUGGCUACUGUGGAUGCAGCACUCCCUGUUUGGCUCAAGUUUGGGCCAGGCCAGGGUUUGAAAAGUUUUUUAAAACAUGUUUUUAAUAACACUGCCAGUCCUGGGGAAAUUUUACUAGGGGGAGGCUGGCGGGGGAAGGGGAAAGCUUCAAAGCUUCAAAGACCCCCUUGUGGCUGCGGCAUCAACCCCAGUUGCUGACAGAAUUACCCCGGGCCUGAUGGUAAACCAGCAUCCCUAGUGUCCAGAAGCAGGGGCCUGCUGAGAACUGCCCAAUCGUACAGACGAUCGAGGCUAUGAGAAAUGGACAAAAGAAAACAAAUUACAAAGAAAGAAAGAAAGAAAGAAAGAAAGAAAGAAAGAAAGAAAGAAAGAAAGAAAGAAAGAAAGACCAGAUAAAACUCAGCUUAGGAACAAACAAAUAUAACACCUCAGGAUCAACUUUUCCUUAAUUUACCUCAGUGACUCUAAAGCUGAGUCAUUUAAUACCCAGGCACAUUUUAAAUGUUGAUUUGAGAUGUAUGAAAAUCCUAUGUGAUCACUGAAUAAUUAGGGAGACAUGUUCUUAAAGCUAACGUAGUGCCAUCAGGGCAUGUGGUAAAUUUUGUAAUUUAUUACGCCUGUAUUUCCAAGACACAGCAAGUUCAUCAUUUUGUUCACCUGAAAUGAUCAUUCAGAAGGCGAGAGACCUCAGAGAUAUGGUUUCUUAAAAUAGAGUGAUCUAGGGGCCUAAAUCAUGCCUGUCAUCUGCAACCCCACUGGAGCUAAGAUGGCUUAAUGCAACGGAGAGGUCAAAAUAUUGCGAAGAAAAGGGCAGUGCAGUGCCCUGCCAGGAAAGAUAUUUGCCUAAGGACCAAGUUACACACUAUGCACAGAUGCAUUGAGUAAUAAGACCCUGAUGGAAUAUCCCUCCAGAAAUACCAAAGAAGGAACAAUACCCACCUUAAAAGGAGGAGCAUCGGGAGAAAUAUAGUUUUGAGUGGUGGUAAAUUGUUUCUCCCCACUAUAAUUUUUUCUCUCCCCAGUUUAAUAUUUUGGGAACUGCUUUGUUAUUUAUGAAUGAAAAGCAGGAUAUAAAUAUAACAAUUCUGAAACCA